ensembl:lncRNA
CCCCACUCUUAAGUGCAUUAAGAGCAAUUAUAUCCAGUUAGCUGGAGAGCAAAUAUACAGAUGUACUAUGGGCAAAUGUAUGUAUAUGCUGGUAUAUACAGACAUGGGUAGUAUAAAUGGCUGAAUAGUUAUAAACAGAUUAUGUGCAGAAAGACCAAAUAUACAGGUUUUUUUGGUCUUGGAGUGCAGGCACGAUGCAAUUACUGCUGUUUUCUCCACCUGUAGACGCACCUGCCCCACAUACUGUACCUCCCUCCGUCCAGACUUCUUUCGGUUGAAUACAAUGUCACAAAAAAUUGAGCUGUGCCUAACCGGUCCAGGAGCUCGUCGACCCGGGGCAUGGGGUACGCAUCAAACCAUGACACUUCGUUCACCUUGCGGUAGUUGACACAGAACUGUAUAGACCCAUCAUUCUUCACAACCAGAACUAUGGGGCUACACCUCACCCUGUGCGAUUCUUUUAUCACUCCUGUUUUCAGCAUUUUAGUCAAUUCUUUCAAAACAAUUUGUCUCUUAUGUUCAGGUAACCUGUAGGGCCGUGAACAAUACCGUCACACCAGGCUGCGUUUCAAAAUGAUGCUCUAUGAGAGUCGUACUGCAGCAACAUCUACUCUCUGGGCCUAUGUGCAAUUUGGCACCUCUUUGUCCCAACUUAUCUCUUUCUUUAACCAUCCUCACCAGAGAAGCAGGAGGUUGAGGUGAUAAAUCUGAUUGGCGCCUUCCUGUCCGACCAUAUCACUUCAUAGUCCAUGUCCCCCACUCACCCUGUUGUACAGGCGCUGCUGAUGCACUGUAAAAUGUAAUAUUGUGUUUAAUUAAAAAUAUUAAAUAGGCUGAACUCAAUUUUUAUCAAUUUGUUAUUAGAACUCAAUUUAAAUAAGUUACCAGUACUUUUUAUGCAAAAACGCUGAUAAACUCCAUUUAUUUGAGUUGUCUUAACUUAGAAAAACUAAGUAAGCUGGAAGUUUUGCUUCUCAGUGCGGAAGGAUGAAAGAUGUGUUUUGAAAAUGCCACGUGACUACCGUCCUCCUCCCUCUCGGAUCAGUCCGCAUGUUCACGGUGCAUUUUUUAUGGAAUAUGUUGAGCAAACCUGGAGAAGCGUCAGCUCAAGAUUAUUGUUGUCAUUGCUGUGGAUCUUUACCUGAUACACUGACUUGGCCGAUCGGGACCAGCACUCCUGCUGUUGGACAGAAAGACAUCAACUUGAGAUAUGACUGCACGAUGCUGUUGCUGGUGACCACAGUUAAUUCUACAAGACAUGCUGUGACACCAGGAGAGAUGAGUCCUCCGUCACAGAUGGUGUGGUCAGUGAAGAUGGUCGUCUGCAGGUUCAAGCUCAUUGCAUCUCCAACCCACAUCCACUGCUACUGUACUUAAGGGAAGUUAAAGACUUUCUUCUGCACCUACAUUUGGAUCACCUCGAUCCAUGACAGUCAUUCAGGCAGUGAUGCCUGGACUGGAAACAAGCCAUCCUUCAAAUAAUACAACAUUCCAGCUCAUGUGUUGGAAUGGAAAACAAAUGUGUUGUUUAAAUUAGAGACUGCACUUGUGACAGAACAACAAAUAUUUUAUUUUGAUUAUAUAAGUAAUGUAAGUACAAAACAAACUUGUGGUAGGCCUAAACUUAUUUUCAGAAUAAUUACAUCUGAGACUUUGCUUCGUUGUAAGAUUAUAACAGUGAUGGCCUAACCCUAACCCAGUAUGUUGGCUGUUAUACUUUGUUGUGUUUGAAAAUAAAUGUUGGGCUGAUUUUAACAUCAUUACAAAAAUUGUUGUUAAUUAUUUUUAAUCAUAUUCAGGUUACCACAAAUUGUUUUUUCAUUUAGUUGAACUUAACAUGUUUGUCAGUAGGUAAACAAUUAGUAUUGUACAGUCAGAAAUAUCAAGUUAUUGUUAAUACUGCAGACUUGCAAUGUAUAAGUUGUCCUAACAGUCAUCCUAAGUAAGCUUUACUUAGUUUUUUUGAGGCAACGAGUUUCCAUAAUUUUUUUGAGUUCUGGGAACUAACAAGGCUGUACAGUGUACUCAAAAUGAGUAAGUUGCCCUAACUUGGUCAUCUUACGUAAACUUUAUCCAAUUUUUUUGAGUUCUGGGAACAAAUGAGCUUGUACAGAGCACUCAAAGUAAAUAAGUUGAUCUAACUUAGUCAUUUUUAGCUAAGCUUUACUCAAUUUUUUUGAGGCAACGAGUUUCCACAGUGUGGGCCUGGAGCAAAUUCUCUCCCAACGUGUGCUGUGCAGCUUUGCUCUCAGAUCCCGGACAUACUGAAUCUUGUUUUUAGUCGGGUGCGGAUCUUGCUCCCAGUUUUCUUUAAGGCCAAGCCCCCGGCUUCCUGCCAAAUAGUAACUGAAAGGGAGAAAAUCCCGUGGAACCUGGGGUACCUUCGGCACUUCAAACAACAGAAGAUCUGAUUCAGCCGUUCCACCUGCCCGUCAGUCUGACGGUGGUAGGCUGCCCCGAACAAGUUCGUACAGUUCUAUUAAUGUGCAAGACAUGAACGACGUGUCCUGGUCAGUCUCUUUUGUGAUGCUGACUUGGGAGAUGACCUGAAACGGCGCCUGCGCCACUCUUUGCAUAAUCCACCAGAACUAAUACAAAUUCAAUUCAAUUCAAUUCAAUUCAAUUUCUUUAUUGUCCCACAAGGGGAAAUUAGUUUAGCAGCAGGAUAAAAAUAAACAGAACAAUACUAUAAAAGAAUAAUGACAAUAAUAGUGAUAGGAAGUCCAAGGACAGUUAUUUGCCAUUAAGGAGACAAGAUGCAGUAGGGAUGAGAAGUGUAACCCAUGGUUAUUUUAUUGCAGAUGGUAUUUAAUUUUUAUUUUAGAAGUGUGACUUUUCUGUUAAGUAUUGAGUUUUCCCAUGUACCGUGAAUGCACCAUAGCGCUGCUAACGGUAACUUUCUUUCACUGCACCCGCCUGCACAGAGAAAGAUGCAAAAAGCUGUUGUGAAAGGUUCAGUCCUGUAACGUGUUGAGUUAAUGUGUUCUGUGAAGAAUAUACUGGCUGUUUUUUUUAUGUGGUGGAAAUCUGCUGUGAAUUAUUGUGGUGAGCUACAUGUUUGCAAUAAUUCAAAUGGUUUUGGUUCAUGUCUUUUUUUGGACAAUUUAAAUGUGUGAAUACACUCAAAUCACUUUUCUCCUUUAAGUCAUUGUCAGUGUCUCAUUUUGAGUGGAGUUUUUUUCUUCUCUAAGUUACCACUGUCUCCUUACGAUCCUAACUGAACCCAACAAGAGUAGAUUCCAGAUAUUUGGUUUUUAUUCGACUUAGAUGACAGAUUACUGUGUAUUUGAUCAAUUCAGACUACUCGGUUAAAAAGGGUGACAAAAGCAAUGCACUCCACUGAAAUGGCCCGAUGAAGUCCAUGCCAAUGCACUCAAACGGGAUCUCCAUUAACGGCAGUAGGCACAAAGGUGCAUUUGGGAUGACUGGCUGGUUAACCAGCUGACAUUCCGGGCAGGACUUACACACGUACUUGGUGACGCUUUGGCAUGAUGGCACCUGUGUCUGGCUUUGCCGCUGUUGCAGUUUGUCCUUCUCUCUUGUUGUGCUGUUUUUCUCUCCUCUGCUGUUUUCACUUUGCAUCAAUGAUGUACUUUCUUGGUUUAUGAUCGUCUGCCGCUGUUAUCCAUCCAAUCUUCAAUGAUGGGUCACGAUGUCUCAUCCUGCUGUUUUGGCAUUUUCCAACCUCCGCCUGUCGCUGGAUCGUUGUCAGGCGACCUCAGCGGUCCCCUCAGACCACGGAGAAGAUGAGAGAGAAGAACAGGUGUCCAGUUGAAGCUCAGGCUGGGGUGACCGUAUUUCGAUUUCCAAAAAAGAGGACAGGUGGUCGAUUCAUGAUAACCUUCAAUGAUACUGUUUGCUCAAAGAACAUUUUAACAUGUUUAAAAAAGGUCUUCUCUGUGCAGUUAAUGAAUGGUGAAAUGAAAAAUUUCAACGAUUCAAGGAGCUUUAUUGUCAUUCGCAUCACAUGUUAACAUGAGGUGGAACCAUUUUUUUUUUUAAGUAAUAAACAAUACAAUAAGUAAUACGAUAAGUAGAGUGCAACAACAUGAGUACCAGUAUAGAGUGUGGGUAUAAAUAUAGGUGUAAAUAAAUACUUUAGCAGCAAAG